GGGGAUGUGGCCCAAUGGAAGGGUGCUUGCCUGGAAAGCAUGAAGCUCUGGGUUCAAUUCCCAAUACCA
rnacentral:tRNA from 1 species